GGAGGUGUAAUUCAGGGGUAGAAUGUUUAACUGCAAAUCAAGUGGUUUUCAGUUCAACUGCAAAUACCUCCU
rnacentral:tRNA from 1 species